GAUGCCCCCUUCCAUCAUGGCAGGAGCGAAGCAGUCGGGGAAGAACCGAGUUCACCAGCCAAAGGGGACGCACAGAUGGCAAAAUGACCCGCCAAACUCAGCAAUGAGGGAUGAGGAGCGGGUCCGGACCUGUGAGGGGAUGCCCCAAGGAGCCUCAUCAUGUCUACAGCUCCUCAUCUAAGAAUGCCUGCGCUGGCUCCCACGCUGGGUGGCUGGAGAGCCCCAGGAAAGGGUCGUACUAACAGGAGCUACUCACGCCUCCAUUCUGUAUUACUACGCACACCGGGGAGGCAGCGAGCUGUGCCUAGGGAGGCUUGGGAGAAGAGAAAGCAGACGGAGGUUUCUCAGCGAAGGCCACGAAGCCCUCCUUGAAGAAGUGCCACGUGACUGCAAGACCCUUUUGUGGGGUCACAAAUCUGGUUAUUGAAUAAAUACCUGCAAAUGGAGAGACA